rnacentral:tRNA from 2 species
GGGCGUGUGGCGGAACUGGAAUACGCGUACGCUUCAGGAGCGUAUGGACGAAAGUCAUUGAGGGUUCGACUCCCUCCACGCCCA